rnacentral:rRNA from 1 species
CCUACGGGUGGCAGCAGUGAGGAAUAUUGGUCAAUGGGCGUAAGCCUGAACCAGCCAAGUCGCGUGAGGGAUGAAGGUUCUAUGGAUCGUAAACCUCUUUUAUAAGGGAAUAAAGUGUGGGACGUGUCCUAUUUUGUAUGUACCUUAUGAAUAAGGAUCGGCUAACUCCGUGCCAGCAGCCGCGGUAAUACGGAGGAUCCGAGCGUUAUCCGGAUUUAUUGGGUUUAAAGGGUGCGUAGGCGGCGUUUUAAGUCAGCGGUGAAAGUCUGUGGCUCAACCAUAGGAUGGCAGUUGAAACUGGGGGGCUGGAGUAUGGUAGAGGAAGGCGGAAGGCGUGGGGGAGGGGUGAAAUGCUGAGAUAUCACGCAGAACCGC